AGCAGCCGCGGUAAUUCCAGCUCCAAUAGCGUAUAUUAAAGUUGUUGCAGUUAAAAAGCUCGUAGUUGAAUUUCGGAGUUUAUCCGUCGGUCGGGCUUUUGGGUCUGUACUGGCGUGAUGGAUUCCUACCUUCUGAAUAACCGGCAUGCCAUUAAUUUGGUGCGCCGGGGAAGCAGGACUGUUACCUUGAAAAAAUUAGAGUGCUUAAAGCAGGCUAUUGCCUGAAUACAUUAGCAUGGAAUAAUGAAAUAGGACGGCAUGGUUCUAUUUUGUUGGUUUCUAGGAUCACCGUAAUGAUUAAUAGGGAUAGUUGGGGGCAUUAGUAUUCAAUUGUCAGAGGUGAAAUUCUUGGAUUUAUUGAAGACUAACUUCUGCGAAAGCAUUUGCCAAGGAUGUUUUCAUUAAUCAAGAACGAAAGUUAGGGGAUCGAAGACGAUCAGAUACCGUCGUAGUCUUAACCAUAAACUAUGCCGACUAGGGAUCGGACGAUGUUAAUUUUUUAAUGACUCGUUCGGCGCCU
rnacentral:rRNA from 1 species